UACGUAGGUGGCAAGCGUUAUCCGGAUUUAUUGGGCGUAAAGAGAACGCAGGCGGUCUUUUAAGUCUGAUGUGAAAGCCUUCGGCUUAACCGGAGUGGUGCAUUGGAAACUGGGUGACUUGAGUGCAGAAGAGGAGAGUGGAACUCCAUGUGUAGCGGUGAAAUGCGUAGAUAUAUGGAAGAACACCAGUGGCGAAAGCGGCUCUCUGGUCUGUAACUGACGCUGAGGUUCGAAAGCGUGGGUAGCAAACAGG
rnacentral:rRNA from 1 species